AACGAACGCUGGCGGCAUGCCUAACACAUGCAAGUCGAACGAGACCUUCGGGUCUAGUGGCGCACGGGUGCGUAACGCGUGGGAACCUGCCCUUAGGUUCGGAAUAACUCCCCGAAAGGGGUGCUAAUACCGGAUAAUGUCUUCGGACCAAAGAUUUAUCGCCUUUGGAUGGGCCCGCGUUGGAUUAGCUAGUUGGUAGGGUAAAAGCCUACCAAGGCGACGAUCCAUAGCUGGUCUGAGAGGAUGAUCAGCCACACUGGGACUGAGACACGGCCCAGACUCCUACGGGAAGGAGCAGUGGGGAAUAUUGGACAAUGGACGAAAGCCUGAUCCAGCAAUGCCGCGUGAGUGAUGAAGGCCUUAGGGUUGUAAAGCUCUUUUACCCGGGAUGAUAAUGACAGUACCGGGAGAAUAAGCUCCGGCUAACUCCGUG
rnacentral:rRNA from 1 species